rnacentral:rRNA from 1 species
UAUGGCCAUUACAACUCUGAUUGCACCCAAUCUCGUCUGAUCUCGGAAGCUAAGCAGGACCGGGCCUGGUUAGCACUUGGAUGGGAGAAAACAAGGCAAGGUCCUAC